rnacentral:rRNA from 1 species
AGAGUUUGAUCCUGGCUCAGAUUGAACGCUGGCGGCAUGCUUUACACAUGCAAGUCGGACGGCAGCACAGGGAAGCUUGCUUCUCGGGUGGCGAGUGGCGAACGGGUGAGUAACAUAUCGGAACGUACCGGGUAGUGGGGGAUAACUGAUCGAAAGAUCAGCUAAUACCGCAUACGUCUUGAGAGGGAAAGCAGGGGACCUUCGGGCCUUGCGCUAUCCGAGCGGCCGAUAUCUGAUUAGCUGGUUGGCGGGGUAAAGGCCCACCAAGGCGACGAUCAGUAGCGGGUCUGAGAGGAUGAUCCGCCACACUGGGACUGAGACACGGCCCAGACUCCUACGGGAGGCAGCAGUGGGGAAUUUUGGACAAUGGGCGCAAGCCUGAUCCAGCCAUGCCGCGUGUCUGAAGAAGGCCUUCGGGUUGUAAAGGACUUUUGUCAGGGAAGAAAAGGCCGUUGCCAAUAUCGGCGGCCGAUGACGGUACCUGAAGAAUAAGCACCGGCUAACUACGUGCCAGCAGCCGCGGUAAUACGUAGGGUGCGAGCGUUAAUCGGAAUUACUGGGCGUAAAGCGGGCGCAGACGGUUACUUAAGCAGGAUGUGAAAUCCCCGGGCUCAACCCGGGAACUGCGUUCUGAACUGGGUGACUCGAGUGUGUCAGAGGGAGGUGGAAUUCCACGUGUAGCAGUGAAAUGCGUAGAGAUGUGGAGGAAUACCGAUGGCGAAGGCAGCCUCCUGGGAUAACACUGACGUUCAUGUCCGAAAGCGUGGGUAGCAAACAGGAUUAGAUACCCUGGUAGUCCACGCCCUAAACGAUGUCAAUUAGCUGUUGGGCAACUUGAUUGCUUGGUAGCGUAGCUAACGCGUGAAAUUGACCGCCUGGGGAGUACGGUCGCAAGAUUAAAACUCAAAGGAAUUGACGGGGACCCGCACAAGCGGUGGAUGAUGUGGAUUAAUUCGAUGCAACGCGAAGAACCUUACCUGGUUUUGACAUGUGCGGAAUCCUCCGGAGACGGAGGAGUGCCUUCGGGAGCCGUAACACAGGUGCUGCAUGGCUGUCGUCAGCUCGUGUCGUGAGAUGUUGGGUUAAGUCCCGCAACGAGCGCAACCCUUGUCAUUAGUUGCCAUCAUUCGGUUGGGCACUCUAAUGAGACUGCCGGUGACAAGCCGGAGGAAGGUGGGGAUGACGUCAAGUCCUCAUGGCCCUUAUGACCAGGGCUUCACACGUCAUACAAUGGUCGGUACAGAGGGUAGCCAAGCCGCGAGGCGGAGCCAAUCUCACAAAACCGAUCGUAGUCCGGAUUGCACUCUGCAACUCGAGUGCAUGAAGUCGGAAUCGCUAGUAAUCGCAGGUCAGCAUACUGCGGUGAAUACGUUCCCGGGUCUUGUACACACCGCCCGUCACACCAUGGGAGUGGGGGAUACCAGAAGUAGGUAGGGUAACCGCAAGGAGCCCGCUUACCACGGUAUGCUUCAUGACUGGGGUGAAGUCGUAACAAGGUAGCCGUAGGGGAACCUGCGGCUG